GGUUCUCCCUGAUUAUUUUUCUAGCAAUCAACUAACACUUUCCAGAUGCAAAAACUGGACAGGGGCCAGUCUCAGCCUCUGUGCUGGUGGGCAGCAGCUGUCUUCCACCAUCGGGUGGCCCCGGGACGCCUGCAGAAGCUCGGACCAGGCUGGACUUGAAAGUGGCCGAGACAGAGAGCCUCGGCAUCCUGGCGUCUCCCCGCGCUGUCCUCCUCCUCCUCCCUACAUCUCUCAUCUCCGUGGGACAAGCAGCUACGCUUACGCCAUAUCCACUCAGAGAGGUUUGAGCCCCCAGGGGAAAUUCAGCAGUGUAUGCUGAUGUUUCUGGCUGUCACCAGUGGAGGGGGAGUGCAGCUGGUAUCCAGCACGUGAUGCCAGGAUGAUGCAAACAUCCUACAACGCACAGGACUGCCACCCACACACAAUUCUUGGCCCCAGAUGUCCAUGGUGCCGAGGGUGAGAGAGGGAUGUUGAACAGACAUCAGGAGAGAAGGACUCAGAAAUCAGGGUAAAUGUGGGCUUCACAAUGCAGCUUCGAGCACCAUGGACUCAACCAAAUGCCCGAGAAGACGGACAACCCACCACCGUGAGCAGCCAACAGGCCAAGCAGACCAACCCCUCCAAAUGUCCCAAAGGAACUUCUAGAAUGCAAACUAUACCAAAGACAACGAGAUCAACAGGAUUCUGGAGUAAACUUGUUUCCAGAAGAGAAAUGAUGACUGGCGUUACCAGUCAGGGAGUUACUGUUAAGGAAACUGAUCUCAAUGACGGGAGGACUGGCUGGACCCACGAGCUCCCCUGGGCCUGCAUCGCUCCUGGUCUCCUUCCUCCCCCCACAUCUCCUUUACUUCCCACAGCCUCACCCUUUCUGUAUCCUGAACUGGUCUUGAUGCAGAAUUAAAGCAGGUCUCAAGUUUGCUAUCUUUACUGAA